AGCGCAGGAGUCCCCCAGACUCUAAUUGGUGAAAGGAAACGUAUUGGAAAGUAUAUUUAUGACUAGAUUGUCAUCCCAAAGGUGUGUGCAAAUUUGGCGAGAGUUGUUGCUGCCCCAGGUCCACACUGUUAGCGCCGUCAUCUCUGGUGCUCGCCAGCACUGGGUGUCCGCUCCUUCCUUCAAUCGCUGGUGAAGCGGAGGUACUGUUUCUGGGGCUUAGUGCCUCUCUGUGUAGUCCAGGAGAUCUCUGUAUAUUCCAGGGCGUCUCUGCCUAUUCCAGAGGAUCUCUGUGUGUUCCAGGGGAUCUCUGCCUAUGCCAGAGGAUCUCUGCGUAUUCCCAGGGAUCUCUGUGUACUCCAGGGGAUCUCUGCCUAUUCCAGGGGAUCUCUGUGUGUUCCAGGAUGUCUCUGUGUAUUCUGGGGGAUCUCUGUGUGUUCCAGGGGAUCUCUGUGUACUCCAGGGGAUCUCCGCGUAUUCCAGGGCGUCUCUGCCUAAUCCAGGGGAUCUCCGCAUGUUCCGAGGGAUCUCUGCCUAUUCCAGAGCGUCUCUGCCUAUUCCAGGGGAUCUCUGUGUGUUCCAGGGGAUCUCUGCCUAUUCCAGAGGAUCUCUGCGUAUUCUGGGCCACCUCUCUGUAGUCCACGGGAUCUCCACGUAUUCCAGAGCGUCUCUGCCUAAUCCAGGGGAUCUCUGUGUGUUCCAGGAUGUCUCUGCGUAUUCUGGGGGAUCUCUGCGUGUUCCAGGGGAUCUCUGCAUAGUCCAGGGGAUCUCCUCGUAUUCCAGGGCGUCUCUGCCUAAUCCAGGGGAUCUCCACGUGUUCCAGGGGAUCUCUGCCUAUUCCAGAGGAUCUCUGCAUAUUCCAGGGGAUCUCUGUGUGUACCAGGGGAUCUCUGCCUAUUGCAGAGCGUCUCUGCCUAAUCCAGGGGAUCUCUGUGUAAUCCAGGAGAUCUCUGCCUAUUCCAGAGGAUCUCUGUGUAUUCCAGGGCGCCUCUCUGUAGUCCACAGGAUCUCCACGUAUUCCAGAGCGUCUCUGCCUAAUCCAGGGGAUCUCUGUGUAAUCCAGGAGAUCUCUGCCUAUUCCGGAGGAUCUCUGUGUAUUCCAGGGCGCCUCUCUGUAGUCCACGGGAUCUCCACGUAUUCCAGAGCGUCUCUGCCUAAUCCAGGGGAUUUCUGUGUGUUCCAGGAUGUCUCUGUGUAUUCUGGGGGAUCUCUGUGUGUUCCAGGGGAUCUCCGCAUAGUCCAGAGGAUUUCCGUAUAUUCCAGGGCGUCUCUGUCUAUUCCAGGGGAUCUCUGCGUAUUCCAGGGCAUCUCUAUGUAUUCCAGGGGAUCUCUGUGUGUUCUGGGGCAUCUCUACCUAUUCCAGGGUGUCUCUGUGUUACUGGCAUCUCUGUGUCUGGGGCAUGUAUAACGUGGGGUACUUCUGCAUUAUGGGUCAUCUCUAUGUUACAAUGUGUCUGUAUUACACAGUAUUUCUAUUAUGGGGUAUCUGUAUUGCAGGGUUUGCCUGGCUUUACAGGGUAUCUGUGAUUGCGUGUCUGUAUGGGGUACCUGUGUGUUAGGGAGUUUGAGGUUCUGUGUAGUAAGAGGUAUGACUGCACCUCUUUGUUUCCUAUAUUUUUGCAGUGGGGCAUUUUUUUUAUUGGAGUGUCUUUUUUCAUUUUUGUAUAAGAUUUUAUUUAUUGAUUUAUUUGGCAGCGAGAUAGUAGGCAGAGCGGCAGGCAGAGGGAAAGGGAGAAGCAGGCCUUCCAUCAAGGAGGGAGCCCAGUAUGGGGCUUGAUCCCACGACCCUGGAUUGUGAUCCGUGCCGAAGGCAGCUGCUUAACUGACUGAGCCACCCAGGCGCCCCUUAUUGGAGCCUCUUGUUCUUUUUAUUUCUUUCUUUCUUUCUUUUUUUUUUUUUUUUAACAUUUUAUUUAUUUAUUUGACAGAGAGAGAGAGAGAUCACAAGCAGGCAGAGAAGCAGGCAGAGAGAGAGGAGGAAGCAGGCUCCUCGCUGAGCAGAGAGCCCGAUGCAGGGCUCGAUCCCAGAACCCUGAGAUCAUGACCCGAGCUGAAGGCAGAGGCUUUAACCCACUGAGCCACCCAGGCACCCCUUAUUCUUUUUUUUUUUUUUUAAUAAAUAUUUUAUUUAUUUAUUUGACAGAGACUGUGAGAGAGAGAACACAAGCAGGGGGAGUGGGAGAGGGAAACACAGACUUCCCGCCAAGCAGAGAGCCUGAUGUGGGGCUCAAUUCCAGGAUGCCAGGAUCAUGACCUGAGCCAAAGGCAGACUCCCAGUGACUGAGCCCCCCCAGGCAAUCCGACUCUUUUUCUUGAUUUAGCGCGCACAAGCAGGGGGAGCGGCAGGCAGAGGGAGAGGUAGAAUCAGGCCCCCCCCUGCCACCAGCAGGGAGUCCGAUGCCCGGCUCGAUACCAGGAUCAUGACCUGAGCCAAAGCCCCCGGCCCCUGCG